GAUGAACGCUAGCGGCAGGCCUAACACAUGCAAGUCGAGGGGUAGAGUUCUUCGGAACUUGAGACCGGCGCACGGGUGCGUAACGCGUAUGCAAUCUACCUUAUACAGGGGAAUAGCCCAGAGAAAUUUGGAUUAAUGCCCCAUAGUGUUAUCGAAUCGCAUGGUUUGAUAACUAAAGUUCCAACGGUAUAAGAUGAGCAUGCGUCCCAUUAGUUAGUUGGUAAGGUAACGGCUUACCAAGACAAUGAUGGGUAGGGGUCCUGAGAGGGAGAUCCCCCACACUGGUACUGAGACACGGCCCAGACUCCUACGGGAGGCAGCAGUGGGGAAUUUUGGACAAUGGGCGCAAGCCUGAUCCAGCAAUGCCGCGUGCAGGAUGAAGGCCCUCGGGUUGUAAACUGCUUUUGUACGGAACGAAAAGGUUUCUAUUAAUACUAGGAGCUCAUGACGGUACCGUAAGAAUAAGCACCGGCUAACUACGUG
rnacentral:rRNA from 1 species